GAUGAACGCUGGUGGCGUGCCUAAUACAUGCAAGUCGAGCGAACAGAUGAGGAGCUUGCUCCUCUGACGUUAGCGGCGGACGGGUGAGUAACACGUGGAUAACCUACCUAUAAGACUGGGAUAACUUCGGGAAACCGGAGCUAAUACCGGAUAAUAUAUUGAACCGCAUGGUUCAAUAGUGAAAGACGGUUUUGCUGUCACUUAUAGAUGGAUCCGCGCCGCAUUAGCUAGUUGGUAAGGUAACGGCUUACCAAGGCAACGAUGCGUAGCCGACCUGAGAGGGUGAUCGGCCACACUGGAACUGAGACACGGUCCAGACUCCUACGGGAGGCAGCAGUAGGGAAUCUGCCGCAAUGGGCGAAAGCCUGACGGAGCAACGCCGCGUGAGUGAUGAAGGUCUUCGGAUCGUAAAACUCUGUUAUUAGGGAAGAACAAAUGUGUAAGUAACUAUGCACGUCUUGACGGUACCUAAUCAGAAAGCCACGGCUAACUACGUG
rnacentral:rRNA from 1 species